rnacentral:rRNA from 1 species
CCCUUAGAUGUCCUGGGCCGCACGCGCGUUACACUGAUGCAUUCAACGAGCUUAUAACCUUGGCCGAGAGGCCUGGGCAAUCUUGUUAACGUGCAUCGUGAUAGGGAUAGAUUAUUGAACUUAUUAAUCUUGAACGAGGAAUUCCUAGUAAACGCAGAUCAUCAAUCUGCAUUGAUUACGUCCCUGCCCUUUGUACACACCGCCCGUCGCACCUACCGAUUGGAUGGUCCGGUGAAGCCUCGGGAUUGUGGUUCUUGCCGCUUUAUUGUGGCGUGACCGCGAGAACUUGUCUAAACCUUAUCAUCUAGAGGAAGGUGAAGUCGUAACA